GUGAUUACUUCAGCAGCACACAUACUAAAAUUGGAACGAUACAGAGAAGAUUAGCAUGGCCCCUGCGCAAGGAUGACGUGCAAAUUCGUGGGGCCGGAGAGAUAGCA